rnacentral:lncRNA from 1 species
AAUGAAAUUUGCUGGUUACUACUUUUUUUUUCCUCCUAAAUGACAACUGCUUUUUCUUGCUUUUGAUAUUAGAAGUGGUUUAGGUGUCCAAAGCUAAGUUUUAUUUAGUUUGCCAUUGACUGAGCAUUUAAAAGGGCUGAAAGCAAGGUGCAGCUCAUACUUUGUUUUUAAAUGUCAUGUUUCUAUUUUCAUUUAUGGGACUUGAUGAACACAAAACCCAGUGCAGUUACCGUUUCCUGGAGUUUCCUUUUCUAUCUCACUUAGUUUAUUUUAAUCAGGGAAGUCUCCAGCACCGAUUGUCACUGUACAAGUUGCUCUGGAUAAAACAAUGACAGCAUAUUUUUCAACCAACCCCUUUGGGUAUAGUUGGGUUUCCUGUGACGUUGCGACAGGUCUUAUUUUUUUUUCUCUCCAGAAGUUCAGGGUGGGCAUUGUAGGCUCCAUGUUCUGCUUAACGGCACAUGGCUUUUUCACGUGUCAUUGGGUGAUGUAUGGAGGCAGUAACAGGACAUCUCCUGCACACUGUUCUCCUUUGGUGCCUCAGAUCCUCUCUGAGUUAGUUGGCACUGACAUUUGCAAGCUGGGGGGUUCUGCUUGGGUUGCUGCACCCCAAAAUACGAACUCUGCUGAAACAGUCAGAAGUGUUUCCAAUAUGUGUCAGUUAUGGAGCCGUUGUCUGUUGUAUGCAGACUUAUUCUUUACAACCACAGUUAUGACGCUGGUCCAUCCCAUGAUAAUUGGUAAAUACUGGUACAUACUUACUGUUAAAUUAAAGCAAUUAAUUGCUCUCAGAAAUAAUGAAUAGCUCUACUGCAAAAAUGGAGAGCAAAAGCAACUAUAAAGCUGGUUGCUUUCAGUCCCUUUUUCUUUUAAUUUUUUAUUUUUUUUUUCUGUUUCACCCUACAGAAAGCUGUAGAUACUGCCAACAAAAUCUUGUCUGCAAACACACUUGAAAUUAUGGAGAGAGCCUUUUCCAAGAGUAACAGCUCCACUUAGUGGUGGAUGGAAAGAUGUUCACGGGUUUGAGCAAGGAACAAAUGAUGCAAGUGCUGGUUGACGUUUCGGAGUACAAAACACCCACUGCUCCAAAAUUUGGCAGCAGGAGAGACAGCAGAUUAAUCUCCCCUCUCCCUAAAUUGUUGACAUUUAUCGCUUUCAGGCUUAACAUGUGGUUUAUCUGCUUUUAAAGGAACGUGUUUGUCACUGAAUCUGACAGUGACAGGUCACCUUCAGGAAGCGCAGGGACAUCGACAGUCCUUCGGGGCAUUUCCUUUUCCUCCAGAUAAGUUCUCUGCCCUCAGGGUCUGCAGAGUUUCCCUUCCUUCUUUCUUAGCAACGCUAAGAAUGCAAAAUGCUGAGGCCUAAAAAGUUUAUGGGCGUUCUUUCAUUAUGAAACAACACGCAUUCUAAAAGGACGCAUUUUGAGCUUUUUGUUAUUUUUGCGAGUCAGCGUCCAAAGUAAUUUUAUAACAUUUCAGUAUGGCUCAGCAAACAGAUCUGCAGCUUAAGCUGGAGGUCUCUGUUGGCAGACACUGUCAAAUUCAGAACAAGGCUACUCUGGCCUACGCUGUUUUCAAACAGCAGUGAGGUGUGGCGAUUUGUGCAAGCUGACUGUGCUGUAAAAGAAAGUGAAGGAGGGAAUUGGUGUUUUUCCACUGUAUUUAGUCCUGAGAGAGAUAUCAUCUGUGAUCCAUUGUGCUGUUUAUUGUAGGAUUUUUUUAAACUGUGUUUUUAAUGUCUUGGCCGUUCUGUAUGUGCGUACUACUUCAUUAUCUACUGUGUGUCUAAUCCAGAAAGAAUUUGAUCACAGCAAGGCUGCUCAUUAUUUAAACAUCAAUAUUCUUUUUGUCUCAGCCUCUUCCAUGUCUUCCCCUUCACAUUUGUGUUCUUUGUAUAUACACAGCGCGAGUUUUCAUGUCUCUAAUUCCAUCUUUGUUUAGUCACGCUCUCUACAGUUGGUUAUCUGACUCUUCUUCAUGAGCCCGCUGAGUUGUCUUGGUUUUGUUGUUCUUCUGAAUAAUGAUAGUGGGUGUUUGCAUUGCUUGUUGAAAAGUUGGAGAAGGAGAAAUGCAUACCUAGGACUAACACUUCUUCAUCCUGUGAAGAAAUAAUAGACUUUCAUACUCUUACAGAUUGGCAUUAGUUUGACUAGUAGCUUUUCAGUUAAAGAUCUAGUAAGUGAUUUUUCUCUCUCAUUACUCCUAAGGGUAUUUUAGCAUAUGCAAAGAUUUGGUCUGUGAAACGUUUCUAGCUUUCUGUUUAAAAACAAACAAACCAACAAGUUUCUGUACUUUGUCUUGCAGAUGAGUGAAGAAAAAUUGCACGUAUUAGUUUUUGAUAUUGUUGUUGUUUGCUUUCUGAAGCUUUUCUCCCUGAUUCAUCCAGGUUUGGAGACAGCCUCACCUGCUUUUCCCUGCAGCACUGUUUCGGGCAAGCACUUGCCUGAGUUGUUUCUGGAAAGCCAUUUAUGUGUGCUUUGCAGUGCCUCCAGACAGUCCAUUUCAAUGCUUCGUUGCCCUUAUGGCAGAGAACUGUCCUACCAAAAUCUCCAGCAGUGUAGAUCAGGGAUGCUAUUUCUGGUUGUACCAGUUUCGCAUAUGGAGAAGUUUCUGCUUUGUGUGUCUGCAGGCUCACUUCUUUCUUCAUUCACAAUAAUGUGAUAAUGCUUACACGCAGGAUUUUGUUCCCCUUCAUUGUGUUAGCGGAUCCAUAGCAUUCUCUUUUUGAGGACUGUUUAUAUAGGUUCUGCAUCCUUCUACGCUGUCACUGCCCACUGCCGUCAAGGGCCAGCAUGCCAGCACCUGCAUGGUGAAGUACUGCCUUGAAUUUCCAAGCUGUUUGUGCACUGAACUCAUUUUGUACAUCUAUCCUUUCUAGAGAUGUUUCUGCUGUUUUCUGAAAUCUUCUUAGGCUGCUGUUUUUCAAUAGUGCCUGUUUGAAUAUCAAGAUGAUGAAUAGUGGAGAACAUCAAACUUAAUACCAGCGUAUCCUUAUUUUAGAUGCCAGCCUGUUGAGUCAGACGGUUUUGUAAGAUCUCAAGCUUAUUAAUUCUGUGAGAGACAGCUUCUCGUUAUUUUGGCAUACCUUGACCAAUAAGGGUAUUUUAACUGGUUUAUCCAGGAAUAAUGUGUCCAGCUAGGCUGCUGAACUGAGGAAAACAGCGUGUAGUUUGCUGCUGUGUCUGUCUCUUUGCUGCUGUUCCAUAGCUUUAGGAGCCCUAACCCACCAACUUACCAAGACUCCCGAACCAUCCCCAGCUCACAUGUGAGCAAAGCCUUGAAAUGAAAGAAGCGCUAAGAAGAGCUGAGGAAAAGUUGACAUAAACUAGUUUCACUUGAUUAGAACAACUGCUUUGUUAUGGAUUGUUUCUCCAGAAAUUCUGUACUGUGAUUGCUUAUGAUUAUUUUUCAUUUUGAGUGCUCUAAAGCAUGCUACAUCACUCAGAGGCUUGGAGAUAUUACUUCCUUUACUAAAAUGCCCAUCCGUUAGCUGUAGAAACAAAUAUGAUACAAGAUGAUAAGUCACAGGAAAGUAAUAGGAAAGAGAGUGCAGGCAGAUGGAUUAUAGAAAUGACUCUUUUCUUAGACUUAAAUGUGAUUUAAAUGCAAUACAAUAGCAUGAGGUAUUAGCAAGUGUGUCAUCCCACUCUGUGGGUUGGAAGGUGAAUCUUUGGGACCCCCUGAAAAGGGCACUCUGCUCAGCAGGGUCACAGAAGUGAUAGUCACACCGGUGGCUCACAGUGACUCACAGGAACAAAUAAGGUGAGCUUUCCAACAGCAAUCAAUCAACUACUUCAAGGCAAAAUUAGGCAGCUUUCUAACAGCAGUUAGUAGGCAUUACACUCAAAAGGGUACUUUGGCACAGGUGCUAUUCCCUUACAACUGCUUUGAGGCAAGUUUAGGUGAUGGCUACUAAAGAAAAAUGAGUAAAAGAAGGUUAAGUGGGAAAGAGAAAGGGAGAAAGCAGAGCUUUCACCAUAGCUUAAAUACAGAAUUGCCUUGAGUUGGGAACCAUAAGCCAUGGGUGAUGCGUCAGCAAAAGGUAAAUGUGUGUGGACACUUCAGUAUAGUCCAGUUGAUCUGAGACCUUCCUUAGGGCAGCAACCCCAUCAUGUCUGCGCAGUUUGGUGUUCUACAAGGUCUGGAAAACUUCAGCAAGUGUCUCUGAUGAUCAUGCUCCCUCCUCAGUGAGUUACUCAAACUGUUGUUUUUCAACCAGUAGAGUUAAUCAAACUGAUGUUUUUCAGCUGUAAGAGGAAACAGAUGCUGUGCACGAGAGGAGGUGAAUGCUGUCCAUAAGAAGCAGAGAAAAGCAGUUUGCUGGUGUGCCUCCGCAGGCUUGAUCUGUCAUUCUCCCUGUCUCCCCUUUUCGCAAUGUUUUCUGCUUGAGUUGUUUGAAUCAGCACAAGCCAAGUUUCUUGUCGGUCUCAGAGAGCAAGAAGUGAGUUCUUAUCAGAUGCGGUUUUGAAUAUGUUAUUUUCCAAAUAAGUCUUUUCAAGAAAUACCAGCUCAUCUGAAUUUGCACCAUAAUUAGCUUGUAAUGAGUUUGAGUAAAAUCAGGCUUCUAAUUCCAAGUUUUUAAUUUCCUUCAAGACAGCAGCGUUGCUACAGUAACUUUGCAAGAGCAGGGUUUGCUUUACAUUGGAGUGAAAACAUGAGUCUAGAUGCAAAGGCUGUCACACCUGUUUGUGGCAAUGACUGUUCAGAGGUGAAUGCCAGUGUAGUGUAGUGAAUUGAAAUUCUGAGUACUGCCAGCUUGGUUUGGAAAAAGAACCUGAGGGAAAAAAAGACUGCCAUGUGGAAUAAGAUGAUUCCUUGCUUGGCCAUCUCUUCUAGUGCAUCCCCAUGGCAUGUGGGAGCUUAAAUCUAAAUUAGCUAUUUCAUUUCUUUAUUUUUCAAGUAAUCAAAAAAGCUAUAACGUUUUGUUCAGUACUUUCUGCUUGAAAUAAAUUUUUGGCUUAAAAUAAGAAACAAAUAGGUUAGUCUUUAGAAUUAAAUGCCUGCAUUUAAUACAUUUAGAGUAGGAAGCUCGUAGUUCAGACAUGCUUUCCUCGUCCCGUAAUUCCCCUGUCAUAUUCUGCUGUAUGUGAUUAUGUGAACUGUGACUGUCUGUCUGUGUAAAUUAGGCUGGAUAUUCUGAUCUAGAUAUAGCUAUGAAUUAAAUGCUGCUUUGUCGGCCAUCUCACCCUUGCUCUGCUUUGAAUUUGAUAGGGAAUCAGAAAACAAGUUAGAUAUCGUGCUUAUGUUAAAUAUUUAGCACGUAGUUCACAAAUCUCCAAGAUUAGGGCUUUGGAGCAAAAUUUAUAGCAGCUUUUGUCUUGAUUGACCAGCGGCCCUUUCAUGGAGGAAACGGGGCAGGAGGUAACUCUUGUUUUGUACUUCGGAGACCCGAUCCUACUUCUUUCAGUAAAAAUUCCACAUCUCUUGUGCAGAGCAGGGAGCGGCAUUUACGUGCGAUUGUGGCUAACCUCAAGGAGCUGCAGGGGGUGGGAGAUGAGCCACCUUCUGCAGAGGGACAUCCUGCUGAUGGAUGGAUGACCUGCAGCUGAUGAGCCUCCUGCCCAUCUGCACUGACCCUAUUGGGCACCAUCUUAGGCCAGGCAUCUUCUUGGGAAAUUACAGAAGAUGAAGGAUGAGGAUUCCACACUUCAUGAGUACCAGUUCUGUUGGAGAUACAAGUACACCACCAAGUGUUGUAGAACACUUGCAUUUAGUGCAAGCGUUAAGUGAGCAAAGUGUGAGGAUGGGUCUAGGGAUGUGUUCCCCUCUGAAAGGCAGUGUGUGCAGAGAAGAGACGCCGACGUUGUUGCUUUGACUCAGGCAUUGCUGCGGCAGAGCUGUGUAAGCUCCUUGAAUCCUGAUCUGCUGCAGCCCCUGAGUUCCCCCCCGUGAAGCCUGCUGGGUGUGACAGAUGGUGUAAAUGAAGCCGUGCUGAUGUUAGGUAUGUCAAAACUAAAACAGGUCUGGAUCGCCUGAAAUUAGGAGAGCCACUAAUCCUUUUUAUCAUUAAUACAUACUAAUCUAUUAAACGAGGGAUGACAAAAAUCUUAUCUAAAUGAGAAUUUUAGAUGAUUUGUUGAAAGAACUUUUUAACUUUUUAAUUCACUUUUUACGCUUCUAAUAUCUGAUUUAUCUUGAGUCAUUAAAAUAGAGUAUAGAAUGUGGGUAUGUAUUAAGUCCUACUCCUUCAUACUGUAUUUUUUCAAAAAUAGUCAGGAAAAUUUCCUUUUUGUUACUUGAUCCAUAUUGCCCAAAUGACAUGUGUUGCCUAAACUGUCCUUUAAAUAAUGUUUCUGUUGCAGUCAUAGAAUUCUAGAGUGGUUUAGGUUGGAAGGGACCUUAAAGCCCACCCAGCCCCAACCCCUGCUGUAGGCAGGGCUGCCCCCCAGCAGCUCAGGCUGCCCAGGACCCAUCCAACCUGGCCUUGGGCACCUGCAGGGAUGGGGCACUCACAGCUCUGGGCAGCAGUGCCAGGGCCUCACCACCCUCUGGGUAAAGAACCUUUUCCUAACAUCUAAUCCCUGGUUAUCCAAGCUUUUGGCUUGCCUGGGCCACACUGAGUAAAGAGGAAUUGUCUUGGGCCUCAUUUAAGUAGGUUGCACUGAAAGUAAUGUCUCCAAAUUAUUUCCAUGGAAACUACAAGAAGUACAAAGAGUACCAUGACACUAUUUAAUAGAGCAAAUUCUUGGCUACAAAACACUAUUUUUCAGCAUAGU